GAGGACGAGUGAACUUGUAUCAAUAUAAUACCCAUAGUGGACUUGGUCAUCUUCUUGAUCCAUAGCUUGCCCUUGGAAUGCUAGUGGCUUGGAUGGUUUCAUCACUCCAGUCUCUUCCUCGAGGUGCUUUCGCUUUGAGUUCCCUCCCUUGGGCACUUUUGCUUUGAGCCUUGCCCUCGGAAUGCUAGUCGCUUGGAUGAUUUCAUCACUCCAGUCUCUUCCUCGGGAUGCUUUAGCUUUGAGUUCUCUCCCUCAGGCCCUUUCGCUUUGAGUUCUCAAUAGCAGAAUGAGUAUUAAAAACCCACUUGCUCUCUUCUUCACAGGCGCUUGCAAGUCCCGAGAGACAAGAAAUGAUGGCCCCUCCAAUAUGAUGGCUGAAAGACUGAGAAAUCUGAGAACUAAAUUGGUCCAACAAAGUUAAGCCUGAAGACAUCAGUCCAAGUGAUAUUAGUUAAUGCUACAAUCUGGAAAAUAAAUAAGCAAAAGAAUACCUAAACAGUUUAGCCAUAAAUAUAUGAUCUUUAUUGAAAAUUGGGAUAAUUACAAUCUAUAUCUCUCUUUGAUAUGCUAAGAAGAGCAAAUUCCAUAACUAUAAGACAUCUAAAACAGGGAGUAACAAAGUGGAUGUAAUUGGUUCGGCAUUGCAUUUAAAAAGUGAACGAGACCCUCUGUGAGAAAACCAUGCAACGCAUCAUGAAAUACAUGAUUAGAGGAAAAAUUUUCACAAACAGUCAGUUAAAACCCAAAACUCAAUUUUGAAGACAUUGAUUGUUGGAGCAGUUCUACAUUUUCAAGGAAACAGUUGAGUGUAAACUCAACAACAAGGGCAUGAGCACACAUCUUGAUACAAGCACAAAUAAGUGCUGACAAUACUAGCAUGUCUAGCUCCAUGAUGACUAGCUCCAAGUGCCAAUCUAGAUCUCUUUGCCAUCGUCAAUAUCUUAUAUUUUUCCAAAUCAUCAAAACAGAAAAAAUUGGAAUUGAAUAGGUAGAAACAUGGUUAUUUAAAGUUGAGUAGAUAAAACAACAAACUCUAGAAUCAACUAUGGACGACAGUGAAUGCUAGCCGAAAAGUUCCAAUUAUGAAUAAGAAUAAAUUCCUUAAAGAAAGAUUUAAAUUCCAUGAAAUAAAGUCCAAAUGCUAAAAUCAACAGAAAGGAUCUUAUACAUUGAAAAGAGCCACUAAUGAAUAAGAAUAAAUUCCUGAAUUGGAAAAUGAUUUUGUACUUCUAGGGGAAAAAUAUUUUCAUUUAAAUUCCAUAACACUAAACAAAAUUUGGAAAACAACAAAAAGAAUCUUCUACAUUACUAAUAUAGACCAAUCACCACAAACUCACAAAAGUAAGAAAUCCAUCCCUUCAAACUCAGUCUGGAAAAGGAUUGAACUCCCAAUAUUUAAACAAAAUUUAAAUCAAAACAAGGAUAAGGAUUCAAUAUUAAAUCCGAAACCAAAUUAAAACCUGCAUGCAUGUACAGUGAAAGCCAAUUCAAUUCAACAUGCCCUUGCAAGAGAAAUUCAGACUAAAAUCAUACCACCGAAUACCUAUCCUGGAAGCAAUUAUAGCAACACCCAAUUAAGGGGAUAACAAGCAAAUACUCAGAAAUGAAAAAACAAUCUCAAAUUUAAUAGUGAUAACUAGCAGUCAAGAGAACACCUUUGAAAAAUCCUACCAAUCAAAAAAAUAAAAAAAUAGUGAUACAUGCAAUAGGAAAAUAAAAAAAAUUAACAUUGACAUAAAUUUGAAAUAAAAGAAUGAUCAUUAUACAUGAAUUGCCCUCAAUGGUCAGAAUCUUUACAUGCAUUCCCUUCAAAAUAUAACCUAAAAUGAAAAAGGGAAAAGAACUCACUAGGAAUUAUCUCAUAACAAGAAAAACCUAAAAAACCAAACCAGAAAACUUACAGAGUAAUCCGAGCAUAGUCUUUCAUUGUAACUACCAAAAAGAACAAAUUUCUACUAAAAAACAGAGAAAGAAAAAUGAAUCGGUAGCUAAAUUAUUUUAUCAGGGCCACUUUGGAAACUUCUUUUAUUUGCAUUUGAGGCCCUCUCAAAUCUAAACUACAACAAGAAAAAAACAGUUCUCUCUUAGCUGUGAUGAGAACUGAGGAGUGAGAAGAAGGAAGAAGAGUUGGAUUUUUUAUUGGAUGAGUUGAAUAUUGGCUAGAAGUAGCAGUAUUUGUAGUAGUGAACUAAUGGGAAGAGGGAGACGACGGUAACUUGGGAAAUGAGAUGGCGGUGAUAGCAAGGGGUUAAGAUUUAAUGGAAGAUAAUUUGAUGGCCGUCAUUUGCACGUGUAAGCAUUUUUUUUUUUUUUGAAAUGGUUGUCACCUUUUGGACCGUUCUUCCUUACCAAACUCCAAAAGAGUUCCAUUCUCUGUACGGCUCUUCGUUUCAUAACAUUUCUUCUACACCCUAGCAACACACUAUAAUUUCCACUUUUCUCUUUUGUUUUUUCCUUUUGAGUGGAUUUGAUGUUCAUUAGAGUGAUCCUAAUAUGGUCUCUUUCCAAUCCGAUUACGUUGGUACCAAAAUAUACACGUUUCCUAAUUUAGAAAUCUAUUUUCCUGUAUGAGAAUUAUGAUUAAGGCUUUUGAAGAAUUAUAAUGUAUUUGGCAUGUAUGGUCUUAUGGUUUUAAUUAUUUACAAAAAUUUCCCUAUGUGCUAUAUUCGUUUAAAAUGGUUUAGGUUACACAAUAUGAACUCGAUUAUUCUAUAUAAUUAGGCUAUGGAAUACAAAGUGUUGAUUAGAUAUCUAUGCACGAGUUCUGUCAAAAAUAUACGGCUAAAAUAGCUUAUAUAAUAUUUGUCAUUUGCAAAGAUUUAGGUUAAGAAAUACGAAUUGAAUCACUUUACAAAUUAGGUCAUGGAAUACAAAGCUUCAAAAAAAAAUUCAUGCUCGAGCUCUAUUUGUAUAUAACAGUUAAAAAUGACAUGUAGGGCGAUUUGUCGUAUUUGUUUCUUGCACACAAAUAAUUGACCAAAAUAAUCAAUAAUUGAUGAUAGUUAUUCCAUCAUUAAAUAAAGUAAAACACCAAAAUCGAACUUUAUCGAACGAAUUACUUUUAUAAAGAAUCUAAAAUUCUAUUGUAUAUUCUUCACGUAAUAAUUAAUUGUUUCAUGAGUUAAUUGAAAAGAAAUAAUAAUAAUCAUCAUCGUCGUCAUCAUGAAUAUCAAUUAUUAUGUGCUUAGAGCUCAUAAAACUAUUUCUGUAAAAGGAAUUUUACUAAUUUACGUACCUCUAUGUUUGCAGCAUCUCUCUUGCAUGAUAAUAACAAACUAUUUUUCCAGAUUUUCCAUUUAACUAAUUUAUUUAUUUAAAUUUCCUAAUUUAGUUUUCAAUUUCCUCUUGAUGAUAAUUACCUUUCAGGUUAGGUAGGGCAAUGAUGCAAUAACAAAGGCUCUCAUGGUUUUAAUUCUAUACAAUAGUUCUCAAUCUUGUAAUUCAUUUGCAAAAAUUAAAGUUGCAGAAUAUGAAUUGUAUUGCCUUUUAAAUUAGGGUUUUCUAGUACCCAGUGCCAAAAACAAAACCAUGCCUGAAAUCUAUUUGAUUUAUAACUAUUACAAUAGCAUAUAUAAUAUUUGUCUUGGUUUAUCUUUUAUUUGUUUGUGAGUGAAUGACUUGAAAAUAGUAAUUGAUAAUCAAGAGUCCAACCAGAAAAUGUAAAACACCAAAAUCAAACAAAAUAUCUAAUGGUCUCCCUUUAUACGAGCAUCUAAUAAUUUUUUUUUCAGAUCUCACAACGAUUUUUUGGUUUAAUAGUUAAAGAAGAUAAUAACCGUAAUAUAUCUCAAAGAUCAUUUUCUUACAACUCGUAAAAACUACUUAUGCAAAGAGAAUCCUCAAACCUACAAGCCACUCCACUUGGUUGAAUUUCACCAUGAUAUAUAGUUUUCAUCAUUUUGUUUAUUCAAUCACCCAUUUGUAUUUCCUAAUUUAGUUUGCUAUUUUGCAUUUGAUGAUGAUUUUUAGAGAUUAGUAAAUUUGCAUGUAUGGUCAUAUUUCUUUUUCUUGUUGUUAAAGUAUAUACAAAAGUUUCCCUAUUUGGGAAUUUACCUUCAGAGAUUCAAGUUAUACAUAAAAACGGACUCAGCGUAAAGAUUAAGUUAUAGAAUUCAAAUUGUUGAAAAAAAAAAAUCUUGCUCGACCUUAAUAGCGAUAGAUUUGUUGAAGAACAUUCUGUCAUGAAUUAUUUGUUUUUUCUUUCCUUUUAUGCACAUAUGGUAGAAAAUCAACAAUUCACUAUCAUGAUUCUAUCUUAAUAUAAUUUUUAAAGUAAAAAGCCAAAACUAUAUUGUAUCAAAUGGACCACUUUUAUAAGUGGAUAUAAUAUAUUUUUGUUGUAUUUUCAUAAUAAUUAUUUUCUUUACUAGUUAAUUAAAUUGAAAUAAUGUUCUUGAUAACACUGAUUACAAGAUUAGAAAUCGUAAAAAUGGUUUGUGUAUAGAAAUUCGAGUAAUACUACUAUACAAACAUGGACAUCUAAAUAAUUUUGUUUAUUGAUAAAACAUUUUUGGAGUGAAAUAUCUAAUGAGGGAUUUCUAAGUAGAAUUGUUGAACUUUAAAAAUAAACAUAUAUCAUGUUAGGCAUAUUCUUCACAGAUUCAAUUUUUCAUCUAUCUUUCUUUCUUUUCACUUGAAUAUUUAUGGAUAAAUUUUUCUUAAUGUUUGAAUUUCGUAGUAUUUACUUUCUAGUGGUUUUGAUUAGGUUAAAAAGUAACACAACGUUUUUAAUUUUCCUUUAGAAAAACACACAACUUCACGUGAGCAAAAAUCUCGUGCAGCUACUAUGAUACUACUACCAACAAAUCCACCACUUAAAUUCUCACAUACACAAAUCUGUGAUGAUCAUAGAUGCACGGAUGAAGUUUCACAAAUUCAAUGAUAUUUUUCCAUGCUUAUCUAAGUAUUUGCUGUGAUAAAUGUUAUUUUGUUUUCUUUUGAGGUGGUUGGUGGGGUGGAGAUUGCUUUUUUGUGGAAUUUUGGAUUAAUUAUUUCCUCUCACACACGCACUGUGACAUGUUCACAUGUAGAAUCAAAAUCGAUUUUAAAACACGUGUAGGACAUGCAUGAGAAAAAUGUGUUAUUUAAUUUACAAAAUAAUAAGUAAAUCCAAGAAAAAAGUGAGAAUGCAAGGAUAGAUGUCAAGUAGGAAAGAAGAGCAAAUUUUGCUUUAAAUGAAAAAAAGUGGCCAUGUGAGAAUAGACAUCGUGGCAAGAAGAACAAAAUUUGCUUCAAUUGCGUGACGACAAAAGCAGUGGAGGAAAGGAUAGAUAACCAUUGAAGAUCAGUAAGAUGAGUUAGUCAUAAAUUAACUCUAUUGAAGCAGAUUCCAAGGAUAAUUUCUCACAUAAAUCCGAGCCUCUCAAUCUUUGGUAAGAUCUAGAUCAAAGUGUACCAUUCUUGUACAUUGACUGAUCUUACAAUUUUUUUUUUACAUGCAACUAUAAUACAUUUGCAAGGAAAUGAUUCCUAGGCGUAAUUUAGGCUGUGCAAAAUACUCUCAAGACUUUAAAAUUUUUGGGAUAGCACCGUUGACACUGUAAUUUUAGUAGUUAUCGACACAUACUAAUGUUUAAAUUGUUAUUUGCAUCGUCUAAUAUCUAUAUCUAUAUUAUAUAUAAAAGGAGAGGAGAGGGUUCGUGUUAACAUUUUGUGUUACUUUAUGUUAUACCAAAAGCACCCUUUAAAGUUAGUUUUCAAACUAUUCACAUUUCCUCUUUUUUUCCACCAUAGUUUCAAUACAAUAACUUCUUCCAAUGUUGAACAAUUCAGAUUCUCUCUUUUUCUCCACCAUAAUCUCAAAUACAAUAAAUUGCUCUAAAAAAUUGUAAUUUCAGAUUUUCCAAAUAAACAAAUACACGUGUACCAUGAAAUGUAAUAAUUUAAUAUCAUGGAAAAAAUAAUCAUAUAUUUUUUUAAAAUAAACACAUACUUAAGGUGUGCCAAAAGCACUAGUUUUAAAAAAGUAUGUGAUUGCUGACAAAAUAAGAAGUGAAUAAUUUAAAUAUUCAAGCAUACGAGAAAUAUACGGUUAGGAGAAUUGAUAUUUGAGAAUCAUCUAUAACAAUAAAAGAUUUUCUAUUUUCCUAUACAAAUUAUAAGAAAACGUUUACAUGCACACAAUAAUUUAUGUGUAUAGUAACCUAAAUAUCAUGAUUAACUAAAGUGAACUUUGUACUUUUUAUCACAAUAAGCAAUUAGAAAUUAUAACAUCUUAAAAUAAUAUAUAUAAACUCAAUAGAACAGUUUAUAUAUAUAUAUAUAUAUAUAUAUAUAAUUAACACAUGGCAUUAGCCCCAUUCAUUGAGAUGUUCAUUUGUAUAUAUAUAUAUAUAUAAUUAACACAUGGCAUUAGCCCCAUUCAUUGAGAUGUUCAUUUGGCCUCUGAUUGCAUAUAUAUACCAGCUGAUUAAACCACUAAAUGUGAACUUGGCAAUUGCCAAUCAGUGGAACUGUGAAACUUGUUGGUCCUUUAAUCAGAAGGAGAAAGGAUAUGUUUAUCACCAGCUUUACCAUAUUUGAAGGAUGACAAUAUACAAGCAAGAAAAUACAUAGAACAAAAGAAACCAGGCAAUUACAACUUUUCUACAUCAAAUUAAGAUAUUAUGGGAAAUCAGAAUUGUCUGUUUACAUAGCAUAUUCCAUUCUAUUUAUCGAAGUUUUACAAUAUUUCACGGCUAAAAGAUGCACCUGGUGCUCUACAUUAUUUGUCUAUGCCUCUUGAAUUUCUUUCAAGCGCUUGACUAGCCAAAAUUUUUUGCUGAAUAUCAAAUUAACAAGACAGAUUAAAGUAAACUUGUAAACUAUGAGUUGUUGCCAAAUCAGGACACCUCAGCAACCCAUCACAGCGCAAUUAUACACAAAACUACCUGAAUGCUUUGUUCCCAGCAAUGUCCACUUUAGGGGACCUUCAUCUGGCUCCCAAGCAUUGAUCUCUAUGUACCCUCCAUUCAAUGCCCUUGGUCCACCGAUAACCAUCAAUUGAUUACCACAAGCCCUGAAUGCCAACCCCCAGCCAUUCAUGGAGGUUGCCUGUUCAGGCAAUCUACCUAUGGUAAUCCACACAUUUCUCUGCUUGUCAUACUUCCAGACUUCCUUUUCAUCGCAAUAAGCUGCAUAUAACUCAUUCUUCACCACUGCGAGCAGAGGAGGUGCUCUUGCUGUUGCAGGAGAAUCAUUAGUACCCUCUCUAGCACAUUGAGGGCACAUAUCAGGAAUUUCAAACCAGGUUCCUGUCCUCAAAUCAUAUACCUCUCCACAGGUAAGCACCUUUAAGCUGGCUCCAUCGCUUGCACUUGGGUUGCCUAUUCCGACACCACCGAUGACAUAAAACUUGCCAUCUAUGAAUACCCCUGAACAUAGUUUUCUAGGUUUAUGCAUUCUGGGAAGAGUCAACCAACUUUCUGUCGUUGAGUUAUAAAGUUCAGCAGAGCUCAGUAAAUUGCCUUUUGAGUCGCAACCACCAGCCACGAUCGCAAUCUCUCCAAGACUAGCAGAGCCAAACAACCAUCUUGGGAUGUUUGUCCUUAUGCCAGACGACCAUGCAUUGGUUAAUAUGGUGUAUUUGUAGAUCACUUGAGACUCUAUUUCCUUUCCAAAGACAAGAAGUUCAGUGCCAACAGCCAGUGACUCCUUGUCAGAAAAAAGGAAACACUCGUUUGAAAUCAUUUUAGGCAAAGACAUCCAUCUACGGCGCAAAGGAUCAAAAGCUUCCCAUUCAAGAAGGCUGCAAGAAACAUAGACCCAAUGUUCUACAAUACCCAGCUGCCUCCUCAACUUAUAAAGAUCCCCACUUCGGAUUAGAGACCUGAAACUCUGAUUGAGUGAAGCGAUAGUGCCAUAAUCUGCCCUCGAGCAGCGAAGUAAGCAAUUAAUUGAGAGAUCUUGGCCAAGUUUGAGGAUGAGUGAACUUGUAUCAGUAUAAUACCCAUGGUGGCCUUGGUCAUCUUCUUGAUCCAUAGCUUGCCCUUGGAAUACCAAUGGCUUGGAUGGUUUCAUCACUCCAGUCUCUUCCUUGAGGUGCUUUUGCUUUGAGUUCCCUCCCUUGGGGCACUUCUGCUUUGAGCCUUGCCCUUGGAAUGCCAGUCGCUUGGAUGAUUUCAUCACUCCAGUCUCUUCCUCAGGAUGCUUUAGCUUUGAGU
rnacentral:lncRNA from 1 species